rnacentral:lncRNA from 1 species
AAACUUCUGGACUCAACCUGGCCGCUAGACCGGAGCGUCCUCCAGCGCAGGCAAGGAUUCCUCGUUUAGAGUCAUGUUAUCUUCGAGUACCUAGAGAGACAUUUUAACCCACACCCUAGAGAGGCGUUGUAAUCCUUACGUGUCUUUUAACGCUACUUGGCCCUUACCUGCGAGCAACUGACCUUUAAUAAUCCUCAUUUUCUGUGCCCCGGAAGUGCCUUACCCUCUUCGCGUCUGUUUCCCGGAAGUGGUUCUUCUCCCUCUCCACCCUUUCGCCCGCCUGGGCGGUCCAGCUGCCCCUAGGGGCCAACUCCAGCGGCUAUUUUGGGGCUGGACAUCCCGCAGCUUUUCAAGGCGUGCCUUUGGUUUUUUUAAGAAGUGCUAUCUAAAGGAAAAGCUGGACUAUGACUCUGGGGAACUUUCAUAUCCUCAGUUGACCUUAGGCUGUGUGACCUUGAGCAGGUAGCAUAACCUCUCUGAGUUUCCCGCGUGCCUUAUGUGCAGAUUGAGAUGCUAAAAUGAGAGAGCUAAAUUGGAAAGCUUUUUCCACAUAGGGGGCCGUGAGCAGGUGGCUGUUUUGUCCUCUGGCACCUUUGGCUCAGACUUAAGCAGCUUCAACGACCGCCAAGAUGCCUGCCAUGCCCACCAAGAUUUAAAGGACUCUGAUAAUUCUUUCUCUCCCCAAACGGUGUUUUCCUUAUCUAAUCCUAAUAACCAAGCCUGGAGGAAUCCCUGACUUCGUGAUUGAAGGCUCUCCAGGUCCCCUAGUUUAAGGGCAGAGAUUUACUUUCUCUGAGGCUACAAAGGAGCGUCUGCGAGAAUGUCUCUACCUUAGACAAAACAGGGAGGAGGGGUGGAGCUCUCCAAAUUGCCUCUGGUUUGGGCUUUUUCUUUCUGUUUUGGUGUAUCGUCUCUGGCCAACAACACCUGUGAGUCCUUGAUGUGACGAUUAGGGAAGAUGUUUUUAAUUCACAUAACUAUUCUUUAGAGAAAAUUGAUCCUGAAACACCUUAUUGCCUUAUCGUAGAAUGACUGCAUUACUCAGAAUUCUUUACCUCUACCGGAAUUUAGUGAAGGGAAGGCACAACGUACAUUAGGAAAAUACAGGACACACUCCAGUCCUUAAACCUUCCACAAUCUUCUAGCUCUUUAAGGUCGAGUGUGAUCCUCCCCAGAACUGCAUCUUCCAGGAAGCUCAUGAGAAAGGAAGGAUCCCAGGUCCCAUCUCUGAUCUGAGUCGGCAUCUGCGUUUUAACAGAAUCCUGAAGCAGUGGUCUAACUCCUUUGGUGGUGUUAUUGUUUGCAUGUAUACCUCCAAAAUUCACAUAUUGAAAUACUAACCCCCAAGGUGAUAGUAUUAGGAGGUGGGGCCUUUGGGAGGUAAUUAAGUCAUGAGGGUGAAGCCCUCAUGAAUGGGAUUAGUACUCUUAGAAAAGGGACCCCAGAGAGGUCUCUUUCCACCAUGUAAGGAUAAAAGUACACGGAGAAGAUGGCAAUCUGCAAACUGGAAAAGGGCCCUCCUCAGAACCUGACCAUCUUGGCACCUUGAUCUCAGACUUCCAUCUUCCAGAACUGUGAGAAAUAAAUUUCUUUUAUAAACACUCAGUCAAUGCUACUUUAUUAUAGCAGCCUGAAUGGAUUAAGACAGGUGGUCUGGUUUAAAGUGAUGUGGUGGCAUCAGAAGUUUAAGGAGAGACUGGAUUUACAGAACCAGAAUCUGGGAUGCUGUUUACAGAGCAAGUUAUUUCCUGCAUUUGGACACUGUCAGCAGGUCGAUUCAGGAGACAGGUGAAAACUUUAUCACCGGGCAGCCUGGAUGAACACCACAACUUUGAUAUCUUUCACUUAAAGGAAAGAUAAGGGCAUCCACUAUUUCUACACCUGGCUGGCAGAGUGAGAGCUCACCAAAGGACUCCAGAAACUGGGCCCAUAUAAGAACACACAAGGAGGCAUCGCACUACCUGACUUCAAAAUAUACUACAAAGCACUUACAAAUUCAUGGACUAUUAUGAAGACAAGUUAAGAGAUUGUGUCCUCCAAACUCAUCAUUUUUCAGGUAAGGAAACUUACGUUCAGAGAUAUUACCCUGACAGCUCCAAGAAUGUAAAGGUUGUUUAUAGCAGAAGAUAGCUCACAUUUUCUCUAGGCCAUGUCAAAUGGAAAAAUCGUAUAUGAAUGACGUUAUAUUUUUUCCAUUAUAUGAUUGCAGACUGAAUGGAUCUCUGUUGUUUUUAAAUCACAUCUAAAUUAAAGUCUUUGAAGAUUUUCGUUAAGUUCAAACUGCACACAAUUAACGGUAGUAAGUUCAAUGUCAAAGUUACAGAAUAUUUAAAUUUAAAAACAUUGUUCUUACAACCUAAGAUAACUUUUUAAUGUUUUUUAAAUAUUAACUUGGAAUUAUGUUUUAUCUACUAGAAAUUAUAUUCUUUAUGAAAUAUUUUUGCCUGCAUCUUUAUUUAACACUAUGUUGGCAUCAUUUUCCAUAAUGACAAAUAGGCUUCAGAAUGUUAAAUUAUAAUUAAUCCUUGUAUUUUGAUCAACCUUCCAGAACCUUUUCUAUGCAUCUCUUUUGUAUGCACUUCGUAAUUUUUACUGUCACAAAUAUAUUCAUACACAUAUCUUCUGGUUAGUUGAAAUGAUUUCUUUUUGAGAAAGGCUUAGAAAGGAGAUUUCUGUGAUUAAUGUUUGAAAACCAUGGCUAGAACAGCAUGGUUUAGGGCAGAGGAGCCCAUCAAUAAGGAAAGGCCCUCCUUUCAGCUUCAUCUCGUCUCUCCACCAACGUGUGACCUCAACUAAUUAUUUAGCUUUUUCAACUUCAGUGUUCUUCUUAUUAAAGUGGGUGCAGACACAACUCUCUAAUAGGAAUGUUAUUAGGACAGUUUAUAAAUAAAAUAUUUGGUUUAGUGUCAAUAUAUGGUAAGUGCCCAAUUGAUUAUGUUCAAUGUUUUCUUUAUGGUUCUUAAAAUAUUUCUUUCCAAAACUGUUAUGGCAUUUUCCUCUCCCACUAUCCCCCUGAAAUAUAUCUCUUUUUAAAAUAUUUGGACCAUUUAUUGGAUCUAAAAUGAUACUUUCAGUUUGCUUUGAUUUUUGAUUUCUCUAAUUUUGUUUGAAUUCUUUUUAAAGUAAAUUGACCAGCUGUGAUGUUAUUUUUUAAAAAUGUAAUGCAUAAGAAGAUUGACCAUUCUAUUAAUUAAUCAAAACACCAGAAUAAUAUUUUUAUUCUUAUUUAUGAAACUUAAAUGGUCCAUUAUAAUCUCUAGCUGAUAUUUCUGUAAUAUGAAGUAUACGCAUAUAAUAUUGGAUCCUAGACAUUUGGAAUUCAGAAAAACAAAAGAAAAACAAAAACCGGAAUUGAAAAACCCAGAGAAUCUGAAGACAUCAUAGAACUUUCUCCCCUUGCAUUUGGAAAAAGUUAUAGAUACUAUCAAAUAAUGGGUCAAUAGUGUACUGUAUCCAUGUGGGGAUAUUUAGAUCACCUAUGUAUAAUGGCAAUUUCAAAAGUCAUGGCUCAAUUUUGUGAACUAGACAAUUCUGGUAAUUAUAAGAGCAGUAGAUGAAGCUGAUGUCUCACAUGCUGAGCAUAUGCUACUUAAACACAUAGCCAUCAUUCCUGGUGCUUUCUACAAAAAUAUUUCAUUUCAUUAAAAAUGACUGUUGGCCAGGCACAGUGGCUCACACGUGUAAUUCCUGCACUUUGGGAGGCUGAGUGAGGCAGGCAGAUCACCUGAGUUUGGGAGUUCGAGACCAGCCUGGCCAACAUCGUGAAACCCCAUCUCUACUAAAAAUACAAAAAUUAGCCGGGUGUGGUGGCAGGUGCCUGUAAUCCCAGCUACUCGGGAGGCUGAGGUGAGAGAAUCACUUGAACGCAGCAGGCAGAGGUUGCAGUGAGCCGAGAUCACGUCGCUGUUCUCCAGCCUGGGUGACAGAGCAAGACUGCCUCAAAAAAUCAAAAAUAAAAGUUACCCCUGAUAGUUAAAUAAAGAUAAGGAGAGGAAUCAGCAAAUCAUCCAUGCCUUGCCAUAAUUAAGGUUUGUGAACAUUUAGAUGUCUUUCUCUUCUAUUUUAAAAUAUGCAUAGGUUUUACCAAAUGGGCUCCUGUUCUACAUUGUGUGAUCAUAGAUAUUUGUACUUCUUGGAUCAGCAAAAGAUGGGCAUUUACAGGAACCACCAUUGAGGCAAAUAAUGUCUGAUGUGGAGAGAAUACAAUGCCAAGUAUUGUAAUUGGUUUAUUUUUUGUUAUUUUUUAUAUAUUUUCUUAUAAGAAUAUAAGGCAAAAUGUGUCUCUAUAUUUAGUUGGAGAUGUGUAUACAGCAGUAAGACACAUACAUAGUUGCUGAUUCUACUCUUCAGAUAUCUGAGUGUCAUUUGUAAUCCUUCCCUUGGUCUACUGAGAGUGUUUUGUACUUUAAUAUAUUUAACGCAAUGUCGCCGUUUCACAGAUUUAUUUUAUUUUAAAAAGAUACACAGACUUCAGUAUAUUGUAGUAAACAAAAGUAGAAAAAUUAAGGCAGCAAUUGGAGAAAUAAUUACAUAUUCUUUCCCUGGGAUGUAAGCAUGCAAAAUACAUGAAGAUAUAUGCUUUUCAUUCGAAAUAAGGAAAAUAAAAGACUCUGCCUCAUGAUGCUCAUGAAAACAAUCAUUUUUUACUUUUUGGCAAUGGCUUUGGAGUGGAAGCACAUUACUGUCAUCUCCUGAAAGAAUUAAAUAUAAAGUGGAAACCCAGUGAAGAGGAAGAAAAUGCCAUAUAAAUUUCAAAUGAAGAUUUGGAACCAGAUUAUGAUGAACAAUGUUGCUAAACCUUGUGAUCUCUACCUUCUUUAGUCCCUCCUUGGGAAUAGCAUAACAGUGGACCCAGCCAUCUAGGAUUAUUUGAAGUAACUUUGGGUGGUACAGUUCAGAAGAAUCAACCCUAGAGAGCCUUAAAUAACAAUACCGAAAUGGGACAUAUUGCCAUUAAAUCUGUCCCUAACUUAAAAAUGUUUAACUAGAUGCUACAAAAAAAAAAAGUAAUACUUUGCUAAUACUUUCCAGAAAGAAGGAUGGAGGGGAGAAAAUAAAUACACGUAAAAAAGACUCCUUUGAUCUUUUCCAGUAAUGUGGAAUGCUCACUUUAAUGGAACUAUGAUUCAAACUGCACCUAUAAGAACCAGGAUCAAGAUCUACAUGUUCAAAUGUUUGGAAAUUUUCUGAAAACAUCUAAUUAGGUCUUGAAAAUUUUCAAACAUAUGAUUAGCUCUUGUUCCCAAUUCUUAUAGGUGCAGUUUAGUUAUAGUACCGUUAAGUCAGAAUAUAUGAAACUUCAGUUAGAAGGAAUAAGUUCAAGAGAUCUAUUGGAAAACAGGGUGACUAUAGUUAAUAACAGGGUAUUGCGUUCUUGAAAGUUGUUAAGAGAGUAGAUUUUAAAUAUUCUGGCAACAAAGAAUAAGUUAUAUUUCAUAUAAUAAAAUAUAUAUUCAUAAUAAUACAUAUGUUAAUUACCCCAAUUGAACCAUUCCAUAAUGUAUACAUGUUUCAAAAUAUGUUGUAUGCAAUACAAACAAGUUUUAUUUGGUUGGUGCAAAAGCAAUUGUGGUUUUUGCCAUUAAAAGUAAUGGUAAAUAUUACUUUUUUGUAAUAAAGUAGUAUUUAAUUAAAGGAUAAAUAAUUAAAGGAUAAAUAGUUUUUUAGAAUUUAAAUAAUCUGAAAUUAUGCCAGUGCUGAGAGAGAUUAGGAAGACAUGAGAAAGUCACCCAAUUAAAUAAGAAACCCACACUGAAAUGUCUGCAAAAUACAGCACUGUCAAGAUGAUUUUAUCAUGGAGAAAAAUAUUCCAAAAUCCAGAAAGUAAUUACCUAUUCGGAGAAGAUAGAUGAAAAUGGGGAAACAUUAGGUUGAAACACAUUUUUACAAGUCCCUAUCAUUGAAAAUAAACUUUACUUCUCUGUAAUACUUGUUCAAUUCUAUUGAUUCAAGAGAAGGCCCAAUUGAUUUGGAAAAUGAAAUUUAAAAGGAAUCCAGAUAGUUUCAUGAGUUUUUAACUGAACAGAAUAUUUGAAAACCCUUGCACUACAAAGAAAUUUUAACAACAUUGACGUGUAUGCCUGAUUUUAGCUUUGCUGUGGUUUUAGGGUGGUCCAAUCUUAACAAUUUUAAACAGGCCCAGAGAUAUUCAUUAUGUGAUUAUGAAUCACUUCCAAGGGUAAAUUUUAGAGUAGGAUUUAGUCAUAUCUAUAACAACACUGAUGGAGCAUGUGUCAAGUUAAAGGCAAAAUAUUAAGAAUAAGGGACAGUUCUCAGCUGACUGGAGUGAGUCAAACGUCAACAGUAUUUCAGAUAUCAUGAACCAUUUGCCCAGAUAGUCCAGUAUUCAUUGAAUAACAUGUCACAUGUGUAGGAUCUCAAUAGCUGAGCUGCCUGAGGACAAUUUUUCUUUAGCUGGGUUCCCCACUGGAAUCAACUGAAAGGAGUUGUUUUUAGAAAUGCUAUUGGUGGAGCACCAUCCCCAGAGAUUCUAAUUCAAUGCAGGCAGAGGGUGGAAGAGUUUGGGAAAGAUGAUGGCUCCAUUUCUUAAAGCUUCCCCAGUUGAUUUCAGUAUGAAUCUACAGCUAAAACUACCAUCGUGGGUCAUAACUAGAACUGUAUUUGAUACUUGUGUCUUUUUCUAUUUCAGUUUUUAUGAGACUAGCAACACCCAGUUUAUAAGGUAGAAUCUGCAACUACUAUACAAUAUACUUGAAAAACUUCUUUGAAUAUUGAAGUUUAACAUCACAGCAUAUCUGGUACAUUCUAAAUGAGCAUCUUCCCAGGGAAUUGACCCACAGUCAUGGUCUUAAAAUGUUUCGGUCACCCCCAUUUUAAAUUAAUAAAAGGUGGCUGUGGAACUGCCCAAAAAACUGGUAUUGGCUUUCAGCUAGAGAUGUCAACUGGCUGGCUCUUGUUUCUUGUAAAGUGGCCAAUAUGUGGUUUGGAGCUCUGAUUAGGGGAAAUUCUGGUAAUAUUAAGAAAACAUUCUCCUGCUAUGUAACGGGCCAGGAAUGUAUACUCAAAAUCCAAAAAAUCAUCUAAUAAAAUGUUUUAAAACAAGUACCAAGAGGAGAAUCAUCUCUUUGUUGCCUUCAGCUAGUUUAAGUGAAUGUAUACCAUGUAUACCAAGGUAUUCAGGCAUACCUUGGAGAGAUUGCAGGUUCAGUUCCAGACCACAACAAUACAGUGACUAUUGCAAUUAAAGCAAGUCACAUGAAUUUUUUGGUUUCUCGGUACAUAUAAAAUUUAUGUACCAUAGCCUAUUGUACAAUAGCAUUAGGUCUAAAUAACAAUGUACACACCUUAAUUAAAAAUACUUUAUUGCCUAAAAUGCUGAUUAUCUGAGCCUUCAGCAAGUCAUGUAAUCUUUUUGCCGGAAAGAUUUCUCUGUUGCUUAAUAUUAUUUUACCCACAGUAGAACUUCUUUCACAAUUGGAGUCAGUUCUCUCAAAUUCUGCCUCUGCUUUAUCAACUAAAUUCAUGUCAUAUUCUAAAUCCUUUAUUGUUGUUUCAACAAUGUUCACAGCAUGUUCACCAUCUGAAGAGAUCACUUUCUUUGCUCAUCCAUAAGAAGCAACUCCUGUUUCAUUCAGGUUUGAUAUGAGAUUGCAGCAAUUCAGUCCCAUCUUCAGGCUCCACUUCUAAUUCUAGUUCUCUUGCUAUUUCUGCCACAUCUACUGUUACUUCCUCCACUGAAGCUUUGAACCCCCCAAAAUCACCCAUGAGGGUUGGAAUCAAUUUUUUCCAAACUUCUGUUGAUGUUGGUAGGCUGACCUCCUCCCAUGAAUCACAAAUGUUCUUAAUAGCAUCUAGAAUGGUAAAUCUCUUCCAGAAGGUGUUCAAUUUACUUUGACCAGAUCCAACAGAUGAAUCACUGUCUAUGGUAGCUAUAGCCUUAUAAGAUAUAUUUCUUAAAUAAUAUGAAUUAAAAGCCAAAAUUACUCCAUAAGUAAUUACUGCAGAAUUGAUGUUGUGUUAGUAGGCAUGAAAACAACAUAAAUCUUGUACGUCUCCAUCAGAGCUCUGGGGUUACCAAGUGAAUUGUCAAUGAGCAGAAGUAUUUUGAAAUAAAUCUCUUUUUUUCUGAUUGGUGUGUCUCAACAGAGGGCUUAAAAUAUUCAGUAAACCAUGCUGUAAACAGAUGUACUGUUGUCCAGGCUUUGUUCUUCCAUUUACAGAGCACAGGUAGAGUGGAUUUAGCAUAAUUCUGAAGGACCCCAAGAUUUUCAGAAUGGUAAAUGAGCAUUGGCUUCAACUUAAAGUCACCAGCUGCCUAUCAAGAGAGUCAGCCUGUCCUUUGAAACUUUGAAGCCACACAUUGACUUCUCUGUAGCUGCAAAAGUCCUAGGUGCAUCUUCUUCCAAUAGAAGGCUGUUUCUCCUACACUGAAAAUCUUUUGUUUAGUGUAGCCACCUUCAUGAGUGAUUUUAGCUAGGUCUUCUGGCUAAUGUGCUGCAGCUUCUCAUCAGCACCUGCUGCUGCACUUUGCACGUUUAUGUUGUAGAGACAGCUUCUUUUUUUAAACCUCAUGAACCCACAUAUUCUAGCUUCAAACUUUUCUUCUGCAGUUUCCUCACCUCUCUCAGCCUUCAUGGAAUUGGAGAAAAUUAGAACUUUGCCCUGGACUAGGCUUGGUUUAAGGGAAUGUUGUAUGGGUUUGAUCUUCUAUCCUUACCUCUUGAACUAUUUUCAUUUCAGCAAUAAGGCUGUUUCACUUUCUUAUCAUUCAUGUGUUCACUGGAGUCACACUUUUAAAUUCCUUCAAUAACUUUUUAUUUGCAUUAACAACUUGGAUAACUGUGUUUCUCAAGAGGCCUAGCUUUUGGCCUAUCUUGGCUUUCAAUGUGCCUUAGUCACUAAGCUUAAUCAUGUCUAGCUUUUUUUUUAAAGUGAGAAACAUGAGACUCUUCUUUUUCACUUGAACACUCAGAGGCCAUUACAGGGUUAUUAACUGGCCUGGCUUCAACAUUGUUGUGUCUCAGGGAAUAGGGAAGACUGAGGAGAAAGAGAGAUAGGGUAACAGCUGGUAGGUGGAUCAGUCAGAACACACACAACAUUUAUUGAUUAAGUUUGCCAUCAUAUAUGAACAUGGUUCAUGGUGCCCCAAAACAAUUAUAAUAGUAACAUAAAAGAUCAUUUAUCACAGAUCACCAUAGUAGAUAGAAUAAUAAUGAAAAAGUUUGAAAUAUUGCAGGAAUUACCUAAAUAUGACACAGAGACACAAAGUGAGCCCAUGCUGUUGGAAAAAUGGUACCUAUAGACUUGCUGGAUGCAGGGUUGCCACAAUCCUUCAAUAUAGAUAAAAGGCAGUGUCUGUGAAGCACAGUAAAGCAAAGCAUAAUAAGGUGAGGUACACUUAUACACGGUGAUGAUUAAAGUACAUUAACAUGCAGAAAAAGAGGGCAAGAAGCAAGUUAUCAAUUGAACAAAACAAUAGAUGUAUAAAACACAUCAUUACAGAAACCUGGCAACUUGGUGGUACUAGUCCUUGUUUAUGGACACACCCUUCAUAAUCAGCUCUAUGUAUGCAUCCACACAUUCAUUUAUUCAGCCAUUCAUUAAUUCAUGCAUAUAUUUUUAUUAGUUUUCCAUUCCUGCUAUAACAAAUAACCAUAUACUUAGUGGCUUAAAUCAACACAAAUGUAUUAUCUUAUUGUUCUACUGUUCUGAAGUUUGGAAUGAAUCUCACUGGGCUAAAUGCAGUUGUCAAAGCUGCAUUCCUUCUGAAGGUUCUAAAGGAAAGUCUCUUUCCGUCCCUUUUUCAGCUUCUAGAUGACAACUGCAUUCCUUUGUUCCUGGCCCCUUCCUCUACCUUCAAAAUGCACCACUGCAAACUAAGCUUCCUUCCUUAUGUCACUUUUUCCCCCUAAACCUCCUCUCUCUCUCAUAGGGACCCAUGGGAUGAUAGUUCCACCUCAAAAUCCUUGACUUAAGACACCUUCAAAGUCCCUUUUGCCAUGUAAGCUAAUAUAGUCACAAUGUUGGGGGGAUUCGAACAAGGACAUAUUUAGAGGGGGAUUGUUUUGUCUAUUGCAGUAUUCUAAAGGUACUUAUUAAGCUUUACUGAUUAACUUUUGAACUCAAAAUAAUAUAUGUUUACAUUUGAAAAAUUUUUUGAUUGUCCACUAAGGUGAAUUUUAGCACCCUUAUGAUUUUGCCAGAUCUUAUCUCACCUUCAACCUCUUCACCAUAUAUAUAUUUAUAUUGAAUGUGUUCAUUACAUUAACAUAUUUAAUAGAAUUAUAGUAUUAUAUAUUUUAUAUAUAUAAUUAUAUUGUAUACAUUAUAUGCUUAUAUAU